ensembl:lncRNA
GGGGGGUAUUUGGAAGAUCCGUUGUUUGGUUCUGUGUACUCAUUAACUGCAGUUCACCAUCACUUGUCCCCAGGGAAAUAUUGGCCUUUUGUUUCUGAAGCACCUCAGGAACCUUGCUAAAUAGGUUUCAAAAUUCUAAAUAAGUUAGGAAUCCCCCUUCUAAGUCAUUACAAAAAAGAUCACCCACUGAAUCAUUCUGCUUUCAUCUGCGAGCAUGUUGAAAAACACAUCUGAUUGGUGAAUUCAACCACUGCACUUCAAUCAACUUCAGCAUGAGCCUGAUUAACUCAGAGCAUUGGCGGUCUGCACUAAACAACCCAUCAUCUGGCAGUCACUCACAGGGCAUGGGCAGAUGGCAUAGGAUCUGUGAAAGACCUCUGCAGAAGCUAGAAACCGAGAAGAAUACUUAUGGCAUCUCAGACUGCACUAAACAACUACAUGGGGCAUCUGAGUUGAGCACUCAAUCUUCUGAAGUCAAAGAAGGGAGGUCUGCACUUCCCUACAACACUCAGUCUUUCCUAAAGCACGCUUUUAACAUGAUUUGGUUUACAUUCAGGUAUCCUAUGGAGAUGCCUCCAUACUCCCAGUAGCCCUUUACAGAGCUUG